CCUACGGGAGGCAGCAGUGAGGAAUAUUGGUCAAUGGGCGCGAGCCUGAACCAGCCAAGUAGCGUGAAGGAUGACUGCCCUACGGGUUGUAAACUUCUUUUAUAAAGGAAUAAAGUGAGGCACGUGUGCCAUUUUGUAUGUACUUUAUGAAUAAGGAUCGGCUAACUCCGUGCCAGCAGCCGCGGUAAUACGGAGGAUCCGAGCGUUAUCCGGAUUUAUUGGGUUUAAAGGGAGCGUAGGUGGAUUGUUAAGUCAGUUGUGAAAGUUUGCGGCUCAACCGUAAAAUUGCAGUUGAUACUGGCAGUCUUGAGUACAGGAGAGGUAGGCGGAAUUCGUGGUGUAGCGGUGAAAUGCUUAGAUAUCAUGAAGAACUCCGAUUGCGAAGGCAGCUUACUAGACUGCAACUGACACUGAGGCUCGAAAGUGUGGGUAUCAAACAGGAUUAGAUACCCUUGUAGUC
rnacentral:rRNA from 1 species